rnacentral:rRNA from 1 species
AUUGAACGCUGGCGGCAGGCCUAACACAUGCAAGUCGAACGAGUGGCGGACGGGUGAGUAAUGUCUGGGAAACUGCCUGAUGGAGGGGGAUAACUACUGGAAACGGUAGCUAAUACCGCAUACCAUCGGAUGUGCCCAGAUGGGAUUAGCUAGUAGGGGGGGUAAAGGCUCACCUAGGCGACGCUCCCUAGCUGGUCUGAGAGGAGUACCAGCCACACUGGAACCGAGACACGGUCCAGACUCCUACGGGAGGCAGCAGUGGGGAAUAUUGCACAAUGGGCGCAAGCCUGAUGCAGCCAUCCCGCGUGUAUGAUGAAGGCCUUCGGGUUGUAAAGUACUUUCAGCGGAGAGGCGUUACCCGCAGAAGAAGCACCGGCUAACUCCGUGCCAGCAGCCGCGGUAAUUC